GACCCAGACUCCUACGGGAGGCAGCAGUCGGGAAUAUUGCGCAAUGGAGGCAACUCUGACGCAGUGACGCCGCGUAUAGGAAGAAGGUUUUCGGAUUGUAAACUAUUGUCCACAGGGAAGAAAAAGACUGUACCUGUGAAGAAAGCUCCGGCUAACUCCGUGCCAGCAGCCGCGGUAAUACGGAGGAUGCGAGCGUUAUCCGGAUUUAUUGGGUUUAAAGGGUGCGCAGGCGGAUUUUUAAGUCAGCGGUCAAAUCGUGGGGCUCACCCCCAUCCAGCCGUUGAAACUGGGGAUCUAGAGUGUGCGAGAGGUAUGCGGAAUGCGUGGUGUAGCGGUGAAAUGCAUAGAUAUCACGCAGAACCCCGAUUGCGAAGGCAGCAUACCGGUGCACAACUGACGCUCAGGCACGAAAGCGUGGGUAUCGAACAGGAUUAGAUACCCUGGUAU
rnacentral:rRNA from 1 species